ensembl:lncRNA
CAAAGGUCUGUGUUUAAGAAGCUAUUUUUAGAUAAGUAGGAGUCUGGCCCGCUGAAUUAUAGAUUGAGAGCGCAUGCUAACAUAUGUGAAUAAAUCAUGACAAUUGCCUUUGGUGAGUUAGAUUUCCGAGAGGCAAGACAAGCCAUACGCAGGCGUCUUUUUACUGUGCUACCCCCCACCCCAAAAAAAGCCCUUCAAUUUUACAACACACUGCAGCAGUGCCAUGCAACCAGAAUGAUCCAAUCGCAUCCUCACAGUUUGUGUAUGUUUUGUUUGCCUGUCUGUCUGCGUGUGCUGCUUAGCAGGGAUCGCCUGAGGAUGGAGAUGCUGGAGGUGUGAUGAAGCAGGCCUGCUCUCGCCAGAGGACCAUGAUGUUCAAAAGCUGGCUCGCUCCCCUGGCCGUGGUCUUAACACAAAAGAAAAAAAAAAAAGAGAAAAAAAGAGUGUUCAUAAUGACAGCAGAUGUGAUUGUAGCUGGACCGUUGGACUCUGACUGUAACUGUGAAUACCCCCCACCCCUCCUUCUCCUCCUCCUCCGCCUCCUCCUCCUCUUCUUCUUCUUCCAUCUGCCAUCACUUCCUGCCAUCGUCAAAAGAAAGAACUUCUCACCUUUGAGUCCUGUGAUGUUUAAGCCUUUCAUGCUUCUUUGUGGUUGUGUGGGGAGGGUGCACAAUGAGGUCAGUACGAGGGAUCAAAGACAAGAAAGAGAAAAGACGCACACUGACUGGAAAACUGACUUGAAUGAGCGAAGAUAGGGUAGGAUAGGGCCGAGAGAUAUUGUUCUGGGGUCAGAGGGAGAAAUAUAUAUAUAUGAUUGAAACUGCACUAUAAAAGAGGGUUUGUACUGACUGGACAAACAAAUGAUGUGUCAAGGAUAUGUUAUUGUUGGCUUUGUGAUAUUUUUUACUUUUUUAGCAACCAGUACUUCAGCACUGCCUUGAAUUUUACUUUUUUUCUCCUUUAUUUGGUUUUUCAAUUCUAUUUACUCUUCUAUAGUCACUGUAAGUCCAGAUGCAAUCAAACAUGUUUUAUUUAGAUCUGUAUAAAUGUUGGUGAUCACUUUUGCAGUUCAGCUACACGCAAGAGACUAUAUACAAUGCACUAAUGAAGACAGCAAUGCUAAAAAAAAAAAAAAGAAUCACACUGCUCCACAGUAAAGGUAUUGACUGCUCCGUCAAGAUCAAUACACUACACUGCCCUGCAAACUGAACAGAGAGAAGCCUGUCACGCUAACGUUGCCUUACUCAGCUCUGUCCAUGUGUUUAUAUGACCUGUCUGUCCAUCACCUUGCUUUCCAGCUACUGUGCUGUCCAGAAGAGAAGAAGAAAAAAGAUUAAAAAAAAAAAAAAGAUAAAACAUGCCAGUGCAUUGAUGGUCACUGUUGGUCUAUAUCUGUGAAACAAUCUUGUGCUGCUUUCUGUACACUUGGAGAUGUUUAACUUUAAGCUGUAAUUGUAUCAAAUAUUGUUACUGGCAAAAUGUUGUUUAAAGCAAAAUUAUCAAUUUGAUCCCUAGACACUGACAGAGUGAGAUAUUGUGCUAGCUAGAGAGCCAAAUGAGGAGAUCUUUGCUCUCCUCUGAAUUUUCUUGUUUAUAUGAACAUACAGUCACUACAUGAAUCCUACUAAGCUGCAUCUUUGUCAAGCUGCUAAUAGCUAAGAACGGUGCUAUACCAUCCAAAGUGAAAUUGGAGGUUCAUCUCCUACCAGCAGUGUAUGCACUUGUGUCGAAUGUUACAAAUUUAUUUUGGUUUGAGAUAAAUGGAAUCUGGACUUACGGUGUUAUGAUGACUUAAACUUUUAUGAAAUAGUCUGAUCAUAAAGCACUGUUGUAUCAUCCUUUCUACACUUCUGAAUCUUUACAGAAUAAACUGAAUACUCACCAAGCAGAACAGGCUCCUUUUUUCCCCCCA